UACGUAGGGUGCGAGCGUUAAUCGGAAUUACUGGGCGUAAAGCGUGCGCAGGCGGUUCGGAAAGAAAGGUGUGAAAUCCCAGGGCUUAACCUUGAAAUGGCACUUUUAACUCCCGAGCUAGAGUAUGUCAGGGGGGGGUAGAAUUCCACGUGUAGCAGUGAAAUGCGUAGAGAUGUGGAGGAAUACCGAUGGCGAAGGCAGCCCCCUGGGAUAAUACUGACGCUCAGGCACGAAAGCGUGGGGAGCAAACAGG
rnacentral:rRNA from 1 species